rnacentral:lncRNA from 1 species
UAUGAGAACUUUUAGAAAUGAGAUUCACAUGUUAAUAGAUAUUCGACAUCGAAAUAUUGUGAAGUUAUAUGGAUUUUGUUCAUUAAUAGAGCACUCUUUUUUAGUUUACGAGUUCAUAGAAAGGGGAAGUUUGAAGAUGAAUUUAUCUAUCGAAGAACAGGCAAUGGACUUGGAUUGGAAUAGAAGGCUUAAUGUUGUUAAAGGAGUGGCCAAUGCAUUAUCCUAUUUGCACCAUGAUUGCUCGCCUCCAAUCAUUCACCGAGACAUUUCCAGCAGCAAUGUUCUUUUAGAUUUGGAAUUCGAGGCUCAUGUUUCGGAUUUUGGGACAGCUCGGCUCUUGAUGCCUGACUCGACCAACUGGACCUCAUUUGCUGGCACCUUCGGAUACAUAGCUCCAGGUACAUAUAUACUUGAUUUCAUUCUUAACAUUUAUAUAUAUAUAUAUAUAUAUAUAUAUAUAUAUAUAUAUAUAUAUAUAAGCAGAACAAUACUACCAGUACUAUGAAAAUGAAGGGCUACUUUUGGAUGCUCUAAAGGUUAUGUAUAAUAAAUUGUCAUAUCAGCAGUACGGUACAGCCAGUACUAUGAAAAAAUGACCAGAAUUUUUGCAGAGCUAGCUUACACAAUGAGAGUGAACGAGAAGUGCGAUGUCUACAGCUUUGGAGUGGUCACAAUGGAAGUAAUAAUGGGAAUGCAUCCGGGUGAUCUCAUCUCAUCUGUUUCUGCAUCAGCAUUUUCCUCCUCGUCGUGCUCACAAAUCAACCAGCAUGCAUUGUUGAAGGAUGUGAUAGACCAGCGUAUCCCACUUCCUGAAAAUCGAGUUGCAGAAGGUGUGGUCUACAUUAUCAAAAUAGCAUUUGCAUGCUUGCUUGCCAAUCCCCAAUCUAGGCCAACCAUGCGACAAGUAGCUUCGAAGCUCAUAGCUCGAUGGCCUCCGCUGUCAAAGUCAUUCUCCGCAAUAACAUUGGAAGAUCUGAUGCCUCAAACAACUAUGACAGGCUGAGAAUUUUCCCAAAGAUUUUGUAUAAUUAGUAUGUGAUUGUUUCUACUUAUGUUACUUUCAAUUUUCGUAGCUUUGUUUGUAAUAAAUUAUUUUUCUGCUUUGUAUUUUGUUUCUUCAACGAUUAAUAUGUUUUAGUACAGUAUUAUUAUCAAUCAAAGUGAAUAAAGGCUCUUUGCUAUGAUGAGGACACCUGGGUUUCAAGAUUCUGUUUCAUCCGUUGUAAUAAAGGAAAUCUUCACUUCAAUAUUGAGCUGAGAUGAAUAAACUAGCAUAAGAGGCUUGUAGAAGGAGAUAUAUAUACCAAGAAUUGCUGCACAUCCUAUGCAUCUGCACUUAAACUAUGAAUCCACACUGAUUAUGCUACAAAAACUUAAACUAUCAACUACACAGAGUUCUUCACAGUGAACUCUUGAAGAAUCCUCCGUGCAGCCUGGAUUACAGGACUACAAUAGCAAACUGUCAAAAUGCAUUUGCCUAAAAAAAAGAGAGUGAACAAGCGAUUCGGCUUAAGGGAGUGAAACCUCUAAAGAUAGCAGAAUUACACAGAAGUAAAGAGAAGCAGAGAGAAUUUCUGAUGAAUGGAGAGAGAAGGUAUAGUUAGAAGCAGAGAGAAUUUUUAUUCUUCUUAAAAAUUCAUUUUGAAGGGAUAUAUAUAUAUAUAUAUAUAUAUAUAUAUAUAUAUUAUUUGAAAAUGAAUAGAACAAGAAACAAAUUUUUUGGCUCCGGCACUGCAUGGCUUCUUCUGACGCAAAAAUGUCAUUUUGCUAGUAACUAUUUGCCACCAUGUAUUUAAUAUAUGGCUUGCGCCAAGUAACCCUUAAUUGAAGCUAACAAACUUGUUUACGGUUUCUAACCUCUCUUUAAUUUUCAUUUUGUAUAGUUCUCACUGUCAAAUAUAUCGGGAUUGGCUCGAAUGACAUGAUAUAAAGUUGAGACUUUAUGUGAAUAUGCAGUUUUUAUUUACUGUGAAAUCAAUUUUAAGUUUAUAGAGUAUGCUUACCUUCUCAAUGUCUUGUAAUCCAGUUGAUGGACAGUCGAAGAAAGGAACCAGUAAGUUCAAAUUGCGUGAAUACAACUUGGUACCUGAUAAAAAAGCAAGGGGAAUGAAGAUUGAAUUCCAAGUAAUGCAAGCAGACUCUUAUAGACUUUCAUGGAACAAUUAGAGACGAGAAUUUGAUUGAAUAUAGUUUCAGAUCAGUUAGGGAUCUCUUCAGUAUCUGAUGAUUUGGCAUAAAUGAAACAGCUGAAGAUGUCUAAUCACAUAAAAGCUCAAAAGUUUUUACCUUGGAAUUUAAUGGUUGGAUCUUCAAAGAUACAAUCCUCAUCAUAAAUUGUUGACGUGAAAACCCCCUGCUUUUAAUAAAUAAUAGAGCAUUAAUUAGCAUGGGCAACUGUAUGAGUAUUUUGGUGCUAAAGGAGUAAUUAUCUGGAUCUUCUAUUGAGAGUAGGGUUGACAUUUUCAUGGAAUCAUACCCAAUGCAAUCCCAAAACCCAUGCUUGAGAAUAAAAUGAAAACAAAACUGAGGUUUUGUUUUUUUCUUUUCUAUUUCUUCUUUGAUGAACACGGUGCAAUUUUGUUAAGCCUGAAUGAAAAAGAAAGUUCAAGCCAAAACCAGACAAGGCUACAAAGGAAGUGGCAGUAACCCAAAACAGGAAAGAAGAGUAAUAUCCAAAAAAAAAAAAGAGUCAUUCCUUACUCUUCAUAACAACCAUCGUUUUGGUGUCAUUCCCUUUGAAAUCCAAAUGCUAUCUCAACUUCAAUCCCUUAAUUUAGCUUCUAAUAAUCUUGGUGGAUCAAUCCCAAAACAACUGGGAGAGUGCUCAAAUUUAUUACAGUUGGACUUGAGUCAUAAUAAGUUCAUAGGGAGCAUCCCAUCUGAGAUAGGCUUCCUGCAUUUUCUUUCAGUGGGAAUCUUCUGGCAGGAGAGAUACCAUCACAAAUUGGGCAAUUGAAACGGUUAGAAACGAUGAACCUCUCUCACAACAAACUUUCCGGUUUGAUUCCAACUGCUUUUGUAGAUUUGGCGAGCUUGACAGCUGUAGACAUCUCCUACAAUGAACUAGAGGGCCCUAUCCCCAAAAUCAAAGGCUUCAUUGAAGCUCCAUUUGAAGCUUUUAUGAAUAAUAGUGGUCUCUGUGGAAAUGUCAGUGGUCUAAAGCCUUGUACUCUUCUUACAAGCAGGAGAAAGAGCAACAAAAUUGUCAUUUUGAUUCUUGUUCCUCUCCUGGGCAGUCUACUUCUACUACUUAUCAUGGUUGGGUGUUUAUACUUUCCCCACCGACCAAGUAGAGAAAGAAUUUCCUGUUUAGGAGAGCGACAAAGUCCACACAGUUUUGUAGUAUGGGGCCAUGAGGAAGAGAUCCUACAUGAAACUAUCAUCCAGGCCACUAAUAAUUUCAACUUCAAUAACUGCAUUGGGAAAAGGGGAUACGGAAUUGUUUAUCGAGCCAUGUUGCCAACAGGUCAGGUGGUUGCCGUGAAGAAACUUCACCCAUCAAGAGAGGGCGAGCUUAUGGAUUUGAAAACUUUUAGAAAUGAGAUUCGCAUGUUAAUAGAUAUUCGACAUCGAAAUACUAUGAAGUUAUAUGGAUUUUGUUCAUUAAUUGAGCACUCUUUUUUAGUUUACGAGUUCAUAGAAAGGGGAAGUUUGAAGAUGAAUUUAUCCAGCGAAGAACAGGCAAUGGACUUGGAUUGGAAUAGAAGGCUUAAUGUUGUUAAAGGAGUGGCCAAUGCAUUAUCCUAUUUGCACCAUGAUUGCUCGCCUCCAAUCAUUCACCGAGACAUUUCCAGCAGCAAUGUUCUUUUAGAUUUGGAAUACGAGGCUCAUGUUUCGGAUUUUGGGACAGCUCGGCUCUUGAUGCCUGACUCAACCAACUGGACCUCAUUUGCAGGCACCUUCGGAUACACAGCUCCAGGUACAUACUUGAUUUGAUUCUUAACAUAUAUAUAUGAAUCAAUUGCUAAAUUUCUGUUUAUAUGCAAUAAUGUUUUGGAGGCUCUCCAAAACAUUAUGACAUAUUAGAAGAACAAUACAGCCAGUACUAUGAAAAUGAAGGGCUACUUUUGGAUGCUUUAAUGGUUAUGUAUAAUAAAUUGUCAUAUUAGCAGUACAAUACAACCAGUACUAUGAAAAAAUGACCGAAUUUUUGCAGAGCUAGCUUACACAAUGAGAGUGAACAAGAAGUGCGAUGUCUACAGCUUUGGAGUGGUCACAAUGGAAGUAAUAACGGGAAUGCAUCCGGGUGAUCUCAUCUCAUCUCUUUCUCCAUCAGCAUUUUCCUCCUCAUCGUUCUCAGAAAUCAACCAGCAUACAUUGUUGAAGGAUGUGAUAGACCAACGUAUCCGACUUCCUGAAAAUCGAGUUGCAGAAGGUGUGGUCUACAUUAUCAAAAUAGCAUUUGCAUGCUUGCUUGCCAACCCCCAAUCUAGGCCAACCAUGCGACAAGUAGCUUUGGAGCUUAUAGCUCGAUGUCCUCCGCUGCCAAAGUCAUUCUCUGCAAUAACGUUGGAAGAUCUGAUGCCUCAAACAACUAUGACAAGCUGAGAAUUUUCCAAAAGAUUUUCUAUAAUUAAUAUGUGAUUGUUUCUACUUAUGUUACUUUCAAUUUUCGUAGCUUUGUUUGUUAUAAAUUAUUUCUCUGCUUUGUAUUUUGUUUCUUCAACGAUUAAUAUGUUUUAGUACAGUAUUAUUAUCAAUCAAAGUGAAUAAAGGCUCUCUGCUAUAAUGAGGACACCUGGGUUUCAAGAUUCUGUUUCAUCCCUUGUAAUAAAGGAAAUCUUCAAUUCAAUAUUGAGCUGAAAUGAAUAAACUAGCAUGAGAGGCUUUUAGAAGGAGAUAUACCAAGAAUUGCUGCACAUCCUAUGCAUCUGCACUUAAACUAUGAAUCCACACUGAUCAUGCUACAAAAACUUAAACUAUCAACUACACAGAGUUCUUCACAGUGAACUCUUGAAGAAUCCUCCGUGCAGCCUGGAUUACAAGGGGGUAUAUUCUUGUUUUGGUACAAAACCCCCAGCUAACAAAAUUUCCUUUGAAGCAAGCACUGAAACACUUGAGGCAAAAACACGAACUUUAUGACAGAUUUCAAAGUAGUAUGUUGAGUUUGGGCAAUUGAUCAAAGAACUUGACAUUCUAUACAGGAAAGAGAAGUUGUUAAAUGAAAACAGCUUUAUUUAACUAUAUGUUCCCUAAAAUAGUUCUCACUGUCAAAUAUAUCGGGAUUGGCUCGAAUGACAUGAUAUAAAGUUGAGACUUUAUGUGAAUAUGCAGUUUUUAUUUACUGUAAAAUCAAUUUUAAGUACCUUCUCAAUGUCUUGUAAUCCAGUUCAUGGACAAUCGAAGAAAGGAACCAGUAAGUUCAAAUUGCGUGAAUACAACUUGGUACCUGAUAAAAAAGCAAGGGGAAUGAAGAUUGAAUUCCAAGUAAUGCAAGCAGACUCUUACAGACUUUCAUGGAACAAUUAGAGACGAGAAUUUGAUUGAAUAUAGUUUCAGAUCAGUUAGGGAUCUCUUCAGUAUCUGAUGAUUUGGCAUAAAUGAAACAGCUGAAGAUGUCUAAUCACAUAAAAGCUCAAAAGUUUUUACCUUGGAAUUUAACGGUUGGAUCUUCAAAGAUACAAUCCUCAUCAUAAAUUGUUGACGUGAAAACCCCUGCUUUUAAUAAAUAAUAGAGCAUUAAUUAGCAUGGGCAACUGUAUGAGUAAUUUGGUGCUAAAGGAGUAAUUAUCUGGAUCUUCUAUUGAGAGUACGGUUGAGAUUUUCAUGGAAUCAUACCCAAUGCAAUCCCAAAACUCAUGCUUGAGAAUAAAAUGAAAACAAAACUGCAAUUUUGUUAAGCCUGAAUGAAAAAGAAAGUUCAAGCCAAAACCAGACAAGGCUACAAAGGAAGUGGCAGUAACCCAAAACAGGAAAGAAGAGUAAUAUCCAAAAAAAAAAGAGUCUACAACCCAAAAACAAAGACAAAAAAACAUGUAGGAACAAGAGAGAAGGUCAUUCAGCAGCAAGAAAAUGGUCUCUGGCAAGAUCUAAAUAGACAAACUGUUAUGGGAGAAAUACUUACGGUGCCUAUCUGUCUUGGAUUCAGCAGCAAGAAAAUGGUAUAAUGAGCCAUUUUUACAUAUUGCGCUCUGUUGUAAAACAUUGGGUUGUGUGUGCGGCAUUUAACAAGGCCUGCUCCAUGAGACAGAUUUUUCUACACGGGCCUUUAAGGCCCUUUGUUUUACACAGUUAGCCGCAGUCUAAGCUGAAAAAAAAAAAUUGCUUGAAACGCAGACAAAUGUGUAUCCCAAUGGGUGAAGUUGUAACCCACUAAUCAAACGCUUAGAAUCCAAUUUUCUUAAAGCCACUUUGUUUGUCUUUGAAAAUCAAUUGUUGGUAUUUUAAUAUUUUUAAAACAAAAACAGAAAUGAUUCUUAAGAAUCAAAAUUCUCGUUUUUAAUUUGCCAGUACCAUUAUUCCUUAUAUAUGCUCUUAUUAAUGACCAAUAAUUAGUCAAAUUUAAAGAAUUCAAUGAGUGAGGAAAACAUUAGAAAAAACAAAGGAAACGAUUGUCGGAUCUUAUAUUCAUAAGAUAAGUUUAUUUUGAAUUAAAUAUUUAUUUUGCUGUAUUUUUCAGUACUUGAAUGAGAAAAACUUGUUGAAAAAUAGUAUUAAAAAGAGAAAAUUGAUGAUUGGAACUGAUUUCAGUGACAAAAAAAUAUCAAUAUUGAUGUCAAGUUUAUUUUCAUCAAAAUAAAAAAAGGUUAAAAUUACAAAAUAUAUAUUUUUUUUAAAUAAUUGUAACAAAAUACAUAAUCUAAAUAUGUGUGCCAAACCAAAUUAACAAUUAAAGAUACAUAUAUUGAAUUCCUUGUCUUUUUUUUCAUCCUUCUUCAAUGUUGGGAUUUUUGUAUUUUUUAAUUUAAUCAUUCGGUUUAUUUUGAACCUGCAUCAUCAUGAUAUGCUUUAAUUUGAUUUAUAUAACAUCACCUCAUUUAAACAUCUUUACAUUUGCUAUUCAUUUGAUUUAUAAGUGAACCUACCAUUGCAAUAUAUAUAUAUCAAUCAACUUGCAAAUAGGUUGCACAAUUUUAAGGUCAUUGAAAGCUGACAUGAUCAUUAGCUUUAAAAUCCGUAAAAUUAGUUGAGAUGCACACAAGUUGACCUGAAUAUCUACAUUAACAAUAAUAAUAAUAAUAAAAAGAAUUCAUCAUGAAUCACACUAUGACCACAUCUAUAAAUUUAUUAAAAGGAAAUAUGAUCGACACAGAUAUAUAUAUAUAUCUGUGUCGAUCAUAUUUCGAUGCAUGAAUGAGUUUCUGUUUUCAAUAAUAUCUUUGUGUUUAUGUUGUUAAAGAGAAAUAUAAAACAAUUCUUGAAAUCUUAAAACGAUUCUCUGUUAAGCCCACAAAUUAGUUAAAUUCUUUGUUUCUUUACUUAUACAAUUAAAGAUAGAUAUACUGAAUUCUGUCUUUUUUCUUCAUCCUUCUUCAAUGUUAGGAUUUUUAUAUUUUUUUUGAAUUUGUCAUUCGGUUUAUUUUGAACCAAUAUUUGUAAUAUGUUUCAAAUAAAAUAUUCUCUGUUAGAGAAUAAUAUAAAUACUUUAAUUAACAACUUAAGUUAUUAGAUUGAGAUGAUUUUUUAACAUGGUAUCAGAGCCUUGAUGACCAAACGGUCACGAGUUCGACUCUCACCAUCCCUAUUUAUUUGAUAAAAAAUAAGCACAAGAUAAUAUGAACCUGUACAAGUUUCAAGUUCAAAAGAUUUUCAUACGAGAAAAUAUGUUAGAGAAUAAUAUAAAUCAUAUCUUGAGCUCAUAUUUAAUAACUUAAAUUAUUCAUUUGAAAUGGUUAUUUGACAUUCUCGUAUGAAUAUCUUUAACAUUUGCUAUUCAUUUGAUUUAUAUGACUUCCCGAGAACCCAAUGAGCACGAUAAACGUGUUUCUGUUGUCGGAUUGUCGGAUUUGAUAUUCAUAAGAUAAGUUCAUCAUGAAUCACACUUAACUGUAUACAUUAUGAUUUCAUCACAGAACGUUUUCCAUAAAUACUUUAUGAUUAUUAUCAAUAUCUCGAUGCAUGAAUGAGUUUCUGUUUUCAAUAAUAUCUCUGUGUUUAUGUUGCUAAAGAGAAAUAUAAAACAAUUCUUGAAAUCUUAAAACGAUUCUCUGUUAAGCCCACAGAUUAAUUCAAUUCGUUAAAUUCUUUGUUUCUCUACUUAUACAAUUAAAGAUAGAUAUACUGAAUUCUUUGUCUUUUUUCUCCAUCCUUCUUCAAUGUUGGGAUUUUUAUAUUUUUUUUUGAAUUUGUCAUUCGAUUUAUUUUGAACCCAUAUUUGUAAUAUGUUUCAAUUUGAUUCGUAAUAUGGUCUCGUAUGAACAUCUUUUAAUUAGCAUUUGCUAUUUUAUAUGACUUCCCAGUUCCCACACCGGAAUCUGUGGCUAAUGAAGGGGAGCAUACUAACUACUGAAUUUCCAAGUUCUUCAUGAUGCAUCUACUCUAUUAAUUAGCAAGUUCAAACCCAAUGAGCACGAUAAACGUGUUAUUGGUUGGUGAAGCUUUCAUGGCAUAUACAGAGAGGCCUCCAAUGCGACAGUCUGUGACAUUUCAUGACGGAUUCAUUGUAUAAGUAAAGAAGAAAAGAAAAGAAAAGACAGGUUGUCAAAUUCAGGAAUGUGAAAGCAAAGAAAACCACAAUAAAGCUGCACUAGAAAAAAAGGAAAGAGAAAAACCACAAUAAACGUGAUUGGCUAUGAUACGUUCCGUCCACUGGAGUAAAGAAAAACCGAAGAGAACAUGACUUCCCUGAGACCCCAUGGCGCAAUCUGGGGCCAAGGGAGUUUACUAACUGUUGCAUUUCCAUGUUCAUGAUGCAUCUACUCCAUGAGCAUGAUUAACAGGUUAUUGGCUGGUGAAGCUUUAAUGGCAUCAUGCUGUGGAUGUCCUAUGAAGCAAUUAACACGACAAGUUGUGAUAUUUCUUGACUGAUUCAACACUAGCUAGUGAUCUCUUCAACUUUGCUAAUUAAGCACAAAAACAACUUACAACAGAUCCACACAUAUCACAGGCAUCGGAAAUUUUAUACUGCCAAGAGAGUAACCAAUAAUAUCUUAUUAAUUAUUUUUUAGAUUUAUUUUAAAGAAAAAAUAGAUAUAAAUAGAAGAGAUAAAUAUUAAUCCUAAGUGUAGAUAUACAUGCAUAGAACAAUUUUCGAUCCACUGUCUUGAUAUGUCAUAAGACUAUUAUCCUUCUCUGACAUUAACAGCUACAUUCAAUAAUCACCAAUAGAUCCUUCACUACCACAAUCUUUAUAUUAACGACGGAUUUUUCUAUCGGUAUUUGCACUAUCAUUCCGUUGGUAAUUAAUUUACCAACGAAAUCACUGACGGAAAAGCUCUGUCGGUGAAUCUUUCGUUGGUAAUUUUUUGUCCGUUGGUAAUAAAAAAAUAUUAUUACCGAUGGAUUUACUGAUGAAAAAAACGUGCAAAAAAAAUUACCGGCUUUAUUCUGUCGGUAUUUCCCUCGGCAAAAUACCGUAUGUAAUUCCGUCGGUAAUUAUUUAAAAAUAUUUUUUAAAAAAUCUAUUUUAUAAAACUAUAAAAUAAUUAAAUUAAUAUAAAUCAACACUCUAUAAUACUCAAAAUGUUUGGAAAAAAGAAGAAGAAAAUAAACUCAAACAAAUUUGCAACAAAUAAAUAACACGAAAAAAUAAAUUCAACUAAAAACAUUCAUAUGAAAAAAAUUUAAAAAUCCUAUAAAUAAAUCAACAAAAAAUUGAUCUCAUAUAUAUAUAAAAAAAAUUCCUACAACAACAUUCAUACAAUUAUUAAGAUAAAAAACAAUUAAAAAUAAAAUAAAAAACAAAUAUAGUGAAAAAAAACACGAAAAAAGAAGAAAAAAGAAAAAUCUUACCUUAAUGUAGUUGCAAGUCAAGCUAAGAAGAGAAAAAAAAAUAAAUCCGUAAAGUAUACUAAUUAAAAAAAAACUAUGAAGAAAAAAGAAGAAAGGAGAAGAAGAUAUACCUGAGCAUGGAGGAGAAGAGAAGGAGUUGAGGAGAGAAGAGAAGAAAAAGAAAUGGAUAUUAAUGUUUUUUACAUAUGGAGAAGAAGAAGAAGAAGAAGACGAAGAAGAAGAAGAAAGGAGACGGGUAUGUUGUGAAAUUAGGGAUUCUAGGCUUUUAUUAUGGCGUUUUACCGACGGAUAAUUAAAUAUUAAUAUUUUUAAUCAUUCCGUCGGUGAUUCUGCCUGUAAUAUUUAAUUUAAAUUUUUAAUUUAACAAAAAUUUUCAAAAAUCGCCAAAUAUCACUGACGACUUUUCAAUCCAUCGGUGAUUCCACUUGUAAUAUUUAAUUUAAAAUUUUAAUUUAAUCUAAAUUUUUCAGAAAACCGCCAACUAACACCGACGACUUUUCAAUCCGUUGGUGAUUUUUUCUGUAAAAAACAGUAAUUAACAGUGCAAUUGGGAAGUGAAUAGUUCCAAAGCUCUUUGGAAAAUACCAACAGAAUUUUCUGUUGGUGAUUCUCUUUGUAAUUGACAUGAUAAACAAUGUUCAUAGUUUACCAACGAUUUUUCCGACGGAAUAAAUUCCGUCGGUAAUUCCGUUGGUAAAAAUGACACAUCAUCUUUUUUUUUACCUUGUUUUAAUUAUUUUUUUCCCACUGUAAUUCCCUCGGUAUAUACCGAGAGAAUAUUUUCAUCGGUAAAAUCCGUCAGACAUUUACCGACGAAAAUAUUCCCUCGGUAUUUCCGUUUGUAUUUAUCAAUUUUCUAGUAGUGCUUGUAGAAACCAAACGAAAUCAAUAGCAUGAACAGAAAUCAAAGAAACUAGAAAGAACAUAUGUACCAUCUCAAAACAAUUCAAUAAACAUGAAUAAAAAUCAAUAACAUAAUUAUGAAAUAAGGAUAAAUAAGUACUUGAAUAUGAAAGAAUUACAAUAAUUACGUUACUUCUAACAACUUAAUAAUGAAGAUGAUAUCUAUUGCUCUUGAAUCAAAUGUCAAAGUUUAGCUCAUAGCUGCUAGAAAAUUGACAAAAAUAGAGAAGAAAAGAAUGUUGCAGAGCUCCUAUUUUAGUAGUGUUCUACUCUAUUUAUUCUCUCCCUUGGCUGCUGAAUUUCUUCAGGAUUCUUAGGCUAAUUAGAAGUUCUUAUGCCUGCUUAAUUCUUUCCUUCUUUAUCUGAUCUUUAAGGUUGGUUAAAUCCCUUAGAAUUUUUAUUGAAAUCGGACUUUAUUGUUGUCACAACUCUGCUGUAAUAUAGACUUUGCUGCAACUUAGACUUUGUUUCUGACUUGGUUUUUUAUAAUAUCCGACCAUUCCAGCUAUAUUAUUUCAUUCAUGGACUGUUAUAGGAUUGAUUUACACCUUUCUUGGAUCCUACAACCCAUCAUUUCUAUGUCAGAAUCUCAGUCAUAGUGGGAUGCUUGACAUCGUUAGUUUUCUCAUCAGAUCAUAAAACCAAUCUCGUCCUUCAUAUUGCAUUUAGAUCAUGAUUUUAUCUAACUUGGUAUCCUUAAUGAAAGUUGUAGUCUUGAAGUGAAAAUGAUUUUAGGCUUUUGAAUUGUAUGAUUUUGAUGUCUGAGACUCAAGAUAUGCCUGUUUGAAUCUGUAGUGUGAAAGCAGAGAAUCCUGCAGCAAGUAGAAUUUCAUCUUGAUUUUGCAGGUCUUAUUAGAGUUCGAAACGAACUCGGAUUUCUUCCCAUAAUAACUUCUUGGAAAGCUUGAUAUGUGUACUUUAAUUUGACUCAGCACAUGCUUAUAUUAUGAAAUUAUAACAUAGUGAAACACCUAUCACAAGAAGAAAGGUCUGAAACAUAAAAUGUAGAAAUUCUUAUUUUUUAGCAAUUAAUUUACAAAGUCUCUUGGAGAUGUCAAACUCAUAAAAAUAAUUUCCAAUAAGCUCAAAAUACAUUAAAACACUUACUGUAAAAGAAAUAAAUUAAAACAUGUGUAUAUUUUGUACUUAUCAGGAAUUGAAAAUAAUCUAGUUGAGAUUGUUUACAAAGCCUCGACAAAUCAGCCACAAGUAGCAGCAGGGAAACAAGUUGUAUAUUGAGACACCUUAUCAUAAUCUAUAUUCAAUAAUCCAAGUGAGUAUACUAACUACAGAAAUCCCAACUUCAUGAUGCAUCAUGUCCACACUAUCUUAUCUUUAACUACAGAAAUCCCAACUUCAUGAUGCAUCAUUUGAAAAUUCAACCCUAACGAGCAUGAUAACAGUUUAUUGGUUGGUGAAGCUUUCAUUGCAUGAUCACGUAAAUGUACCAUGAAGUAACCCGAAGCAAUUAUACAGAGAGUCCACAUCUUACAAUGUGACAGUUUGUGACAAUUCAUGACGGAUUCAUUAAGCAAAGAAAAGCUGUUUCGGACCAUCCGACCACGAUACAAGGUUGAUUGCAAACGGACAUAAUUGCAAUCAAAUUCAUGAAAGUGAAAGCAAAGAAAACCACAAUAAUUAACACAUUAACUGUCGAAGAGGUAUUUAUGAUAAAUUUACGGGCUAUAUAAAUUGGAGAAUAAAGACAAGCAACAGAUUUCUGAUAUUGUGAACUUUUGAUUGGCUAUGACCCGUUCCGUCGACUAGACUAAAGAAAAAACAAAGAGAACAUGACUUCCUGAGACCCCAUGCAUGGCACAAUCUGGGGCCAAGGGAGUUUACUAGCUAUUGAAUUUCCAACUUCAUGAUGCAUCAUGUCCAUUCGUCCCAACGAACACGAUAAACAGGUUAGUGGUCAGUGAGGCUUUCAUGGAAUAAUGCUGGGGACGUACUAUAAGCAAUUAAUUAACACGACUAGUUGUGACAUUUCUUGAAUGAUGCAACACUAGUGAUGUAGUUUUUUAAAGAAAUAUUUCAUCCGGUAAGGUAAGGUUAUAAGAAUAAUUUUAUAUUAAUUUUUAAUAUAUUGUUUUGAGUGAAAAUUUUUAAAAUUUAAAAUUUAUACAUGUUUGCACUAUUUUAUUUUUAAUUUUAUUAAUUAGAAUAAAAAUAUUAAAAUUCAAACUCAUGAUUAUUCAGUCAUCAAAAUUCUAAUACAUCGUUCCAACAAAAACACUGAAAGCUACCAUGUAAACUUCUAAAAAUAAUUUUAUAUUACUUUCUAAUAUUACUUAACUUUACAAAGCAUGAAAACAACUUACAAUAGAUCCACCCAUGAUAUCACAGGCAUAGCUUGUUGGUUUAUAAAUUCUAGAAAGUAAUAAACUCGUGAAGAUUUCCUGAGUCAACGAGUCAAUGUACAGACAUUCAUGGUGUUACAAUCCCUUUUUUACCUCCAAUUUCUAUGCGUGUUUUCAAAAUUAUAUUUAAAAAAUAAAUUAGAUUUUUUAUAUUUAAUUUAAUUAUGUUGAUAAUGGAAAAAGAAAGGAAAAGGAGUUUAUGGUUCGAAAUUAGAGGAAAGAAAGAAAAAGAGACUACUGGACUAAAAAUAAUGGAUUGUAACACAAUAUUAUGAAAUGUUUUUUGUUUCAUUGUAAAAUAUAGAGAUGUGAUAUAAAAUGAUGCAGUAGAUAUGGAUUCUUGUAAUUUUAUAUUUAGUAGUGUUGGGGAAUCCGGCUCCCCCAUGCGCGGACCGGGGGUGUUCUGAUAUUUGCUCAACGGAGGGUAAAACACACUGACACAAUAUUUUACGUGGUUCGGCAAAUCCGCCUACAUCCACGGGAGAGAGUCAUUGUAUUAGAGAUAGAGAAAGGGUUACAAUAAAUACAUGUAGAGGAGGAGGAUUACAUCCACUCUACUCAACUCAUCAACUCUCAUUGCUGCUCUUGCAGCUGCUGCAAUGGCAGCAAGGCUGCUGCCAUUGCAGCUCUCUUUCUCUCCACUCUCUUGCACACACUCACGUUCUCUCUCUCAUUUUUCUCUCAAAUAUAAGCCUCCUUUAUAGGCAUUUCAUGGUCAACAUGGAGGGGCCAAUAGCCUUAAAGUAUGGCAUGAAUUGUGGCACAAUUCAUGCUUCCACUUGCUUAGUGGUGGGGUAUUGCCACAAAUGGCAAUAUCCUAACAAUCACCCCCUUUGCCAUUUGUGUGGGCAAUUGUCCUCUUGCUUCUUCAGCACAAGCUUGCAUUCUGCAGCUCUUCCAAGCUUCCAUUCUGAGAGCGUCUUCAACACAACAUUCCCCUUCGAGCGUAUCAACCAUGCUCGGUCCGGAAUGAUUUUUCAAGCCUUACACCAAGGCUUACAACACCCCCUCAAACAAAUAUUUCCAAGUGCGACAGUCAUUGAGUAUUUCAAUGUGAUCACAAGCUCACCACUCUUCCAAGAGUCUACUCAUCCAGGAGUUGCGCCUGCCCUCUGUUCCACCCUAGGAACCACGCCUUACUUCUCCGUGAGUCUCUCGCUCUUAGUCGUAAGAGUCCAGGUAGCUCUCCACCUUUAACCAUGGGGGCAGCCCAUAAAGGUUGAUCCAUAUCUGUCUUCAUACUCUGAGUAUUACAAUGCCAUUACCGAGCUCACCACCUUGACAAGAGUCAACUCGUUCUCGGAACCUGCGCAUGCCCUCUGCUCCUUCAUAGCAGUCGCGUCUUAAUGCUCCACAAGUCACACACUUAUUGUCCAAGGCAAAUGUCUUCCAGCUCAUUGAUCUUUAGCAUGGGGGCAAUAUCCAUGAAAGUCAAUCCUGCACUUGUCUCCAUACUCAUCAUAGCCACUUCACUGGCUAUCCAUCUGUCCACUCAUAUCCAGCCAUCAUAUUGGCUCUGGGGUUGUUCUGAACUUGGGCUCCUAUCAUGGCCCACACACCUUCUCCUUAGGUGUCUCCGCUCGUCGCCAUGCGGCGGUCUGAACUGGGGCUUCUAUCACGACCCUCACACCUUCUCUAAGGUGUCUUCGCCCGUUGUCAUAGGGCGGUCUGAUCCGGGGCUCCUUUCACGGCCCUCACACACCUUCUCUAAGGUGUCUUCACCUUUCAUAGGCGGUCGCAUCCUCCUUCAGCUGAGAUGCUUCAAAGUGGCUCCAAAAAUUCUCUACCACCAUGUGCACUUAUGAGAGAGAUUACUGCCACUGACUACAUAGAAAGAGAAAGUUGCGGUAUACUCCUCGCAAUCCUCCACCUCGAUUUCUAUGUUUGGAGCUUCUGUGCCUUUCUGCUUGACAGCUCCACCUACACCAACUCUCUUUGGUGUCUUCGCCUUUCAUCAUAGGCGGUUGCCUUGUAUCACAGGCAUUUGCACCCCCUCAAUUAGAUGCCUCUACAACAGCUCUCUUUCCAUCCUUGCAUGUAUUGGAAAGGUCUUCGCCUGUUGUCUUCAUUAAGAGCACAAGAGACUUCCUGUUGUACAAACUUUAACAGUCUCUGCUCUGAGCUUCAUCUGGGAACUCUUCUUCUCCUUGCACCUGUUGUCUCAUUACAGUAUCCCGUUGGAUCCUACGGGUACUCUGCACAAUCUCCGUGUGCCCUCGUGCAAUUUCUGUUCUCCAGAUUUUCCUCUAUUCCUUGCUUAUGUUUGACAGCAGCUCAUCCUGUCACAACACCUGUCUAAGUCAAAAUAGGGUGCCAAUCUUUAUCCCCUUGCUGUAUUCCUCUUCCAUUAUCAGGGUCUUCAUCAAUUCUCCCCUCGAGAAAUCACAGUCACCGAAUCUAACUUCUUUGGAGAAAUCACCACUUCAUCAGAUCCUUGAUCAUACGGAACCCAACUGUUCCCUUGUGCCGUCAUCCUGCUAGUCUUCAACCGUUUCAUUACAAACGGCUAUAUAUACGAAAAUAGUACCGUAUGGAUAAUCCUUCCACUAAGCAAGUUCCCAGGAAAGAUUGGAGGGGUCACACUGGUCCCGCUUAAAACCCAACCUCCUAGACAGAACUUCUUAGGCCAUAUCUAUCCAUCGUACUGUCGUUCCGUAUAUACAACCAUUUGCUAGCUUUGUUGCGGCUUUCCUUUACAAGUGAUCUGAAAUAUACUGGUUUAAUACAUCAUUUCUCAACAUCUGGCGAGACUACCAGUGCUUAGAUUCGUCAAGAUUGGUCUUCAUCAAUUUUCACUCUACACCUCUAAUUGUCCACAUGAUCGGGUGUCCAGAGUGUCCCAAUUUUACCUUCCCUCAAGGCAAUUCAAAUCUCCCCACUUAGCAGUUCAACACAUGUAAUUGGGUAAACAUGUGCACCUUCUUCUUCUUCAUCUCCAUCGACCACCAUGAUGACCUUCAGAUGCCUCCUGAUCGGGCAAUCUCUUUUGUUAAUUCACCACCGCCAUUUUUGGUCACAAAUUUCAACGAUCGGACCGUACCAUUGCAUCCGGAACGAUCAAAUUAGCUGGAAACAAGUCUGAAAUCGUCCAAAUCGCAUUUCAGACGGCUAAGAUUUGAUCAAAACAAUUCUGGCCUGAUGAACGACCCAGAUUCAAUCUCAGAUCCGGUUGCACAUAGACUCUGCUGCACAGAAUCUUAUCCCUCGGCUCGCGGCUCGGCUCGGCUCCAACACGGCUCGGCUCAACUCGGGUCGGCGUGGCUCGGCUUGCAGCUGGGUGACGUGGCAGGUGGGUCCCACAGUGCUGACGUGUCUGAUGACUGGACUCUGACAUGGCAUGCUGACUGUGCAUGAUGGCGUCAUGAUGACGUCAUCAUUAUCCGGGUCUGGCACGUGGGUCGGGUCGUCUGGUAUUCGGGUCGGGUCAGCCCAUCCGGGCGAAGAAGACGCGUGUGACGCGUGGCGCGCGUCUGUGCGUGUGGGCAGUAACCUCGCUGGCGCGUGAGGACGUUUCCGACGUCCGAUUUCGACGCGGUUUUCAACAGUGGCUUCGUCUCUUCCUCCUCUACACAGUGGUAUGGUCAAAACACAAUUUGGACAACUUUCAUUUUUGAGCAAAAUCAAACACCCCUUUAAACCAUGUGCUCUGAUACCAAUUGUUGGGGAAUCCGGCUCCCCCAUGCGCGGACCGGGGGUGUUCUGAUAUUUGCUCAACGGAGGGUAAAGCACACUGACACAAUAUUUUACGUGGUUCGGCAAAUCCGCCUACAUCCACGGGAGAGAGUCAUUGUAUUAGAGAUAGAGAAAGGGUUACAAUAAAUACAUGUAGAGGAGGAGGAUUACAUCCACUCUACUCAACUCAUCAACUCUCAUUGCUGCUCUUGCAGCUGCUGCAAUGGCAGCAAUGCUGCUGCCAUUGCAGCUCUCUUUCUCUCCACUCUCUUGCACACACUCACGUUCUCUCUCUCAUUUUUCUCUCAAAUAUAAGCCUCCUUUAUAGGCAUUUCAUGGUCAACAUGGAGGGGCCAAUAGCCUUAAAGUAUGGCAUGAAUUGUGGCACAAUUCAUGCUUCCACUUGCUUAGUGGUGGGGUAUUGCCACAAAUGGCAAUAUCCUAACAAGUAGGACUUGUAACACAAUUCUGGUGCGAAGACUUGGUUAUAAGGAGGGUGAGAAUUGAGGAGAAGGUAGAAAAGCUACAGAGAUAGGGUAGAUUCAAUACCACUGUUACAAAACCCAAAUUGGGCUAAUUUGAGUAACCCAUCCAGUGAAAUCCAAUCAAGAAACCGUUGAUUUUUUUUAAAAUAAUCCUUUUCAAAACAACUUUGUUUUUACUUAUUUUAUAAAAAUAAUUAGGUUAACCCUCUUAUGUCUUAUCCUGAAUUGACCUAACUUGAGCUUAAUCACAAUGAAAAUGAGCAUGAGCUGUGUGAAAGGAAUAAAAAUACUGACAUACUCACUAGCCAUUUGCAAAGGCAAAAUUGAGAAAAAUAUCAUGAUUAUUGAGUAAUGAAACAAUAUUAAACAAUUUACAAAGGCAUUUACAUAUCUGUAUUGUUCUUAUGUAAGUGAAUUUUUUUUUUUGAUGUAAACACAAUCAUAUUAAUAAAAAAAAACUCCCGAGAUGUUACACCUCGAGAGCUGCUUUCGUGCGCUAAAGGCAGUUAAAAAGUUACAUCAUGAAUCUUUGGAAAAGUCAAAUUUGGAACGAUGACCCACAAUAUGCAUAGUACUAGAAAAUUUCAGAAUGAAAGAUUCCUUUACCUUGCAAUUCCAAUUAAUUGAGAGAGCCCGCGAUUAAUUAAGUAAUCUCUUACAUUAUUUCUUCACCGAUUCAAUUAAAGGAGAGAAAACUGAUGCAAAUAAAAAACAAAAUAUUUUUUCAUAGUUAUUUUUAUUUAUUUUUAUUUAGUUUAAAAAUGAGCUACGGAUCUUGAACAAAUGAGCCAACAAUUAAGCAUUCUAGAUAUUAUAGGACUUGGAAUGAAUUUUCCUACGAUUUACCAAAUCUUCCACCCAAUAGAAACUGAUGUCACUGUUGUUGACAUAUGUCAAAUUCUGUAAAAUAAGAACAAAGAUGAAUACGAAAUUUCACAAUUAAAAAUUCCAACAAAUAUUCCAUUUAUUUUUUUCUAUAAAUACCUAUCAUUGGAGCCUAGGAUCUUUAUCUGCCAUAGCAAACCAUAUCCCUUAGACAUGAUGUCCUUACUACAGAAACCAUUCUUAAAGUUUCUCCGAGUCCUUUUUUUUCUCCUUCUAAUGUGCAUUCCUUCUUUCUUUGCCUUUCCUCCUAAUUUCUCUGCAACUUCAUUUGGUGCUGCCAAAUAUGUAGCUGCUGAAGGUAAUAAAGAAGUGGAGGCCCUCCUAAAAUGGAAAGCAAGUCUUGAUGACAACCACAGCCAAUCUGUCUUGUCUUCUUGGGUUGGUAGCAGCCCUUGCAGGUGGCUUGGAAUCACUUGUGACAAUUCUGAAAGUGUCGCGGAUUUCGGCCUUCCAAAUUUUGGUCUGAGAGGUACGCUUCAUAGUUUCAACUUCUCAUCCUUCCCCAAUCUUCUCACUCUCAAUCUCUCGAGCAAUUCACUCUACGGAACUAUUCCAUCCCACAUUAGUAACCUGACCAAAAUCACCAAUUUAGACUUGAGUGAUAAUCAUUUCACAGGAAAUAUUCCACAUGAGAUAGGAUUGUUAACAAGUCUUAACUUUCUCUACCUUCAUGAAAAUAAUAUCAUCGGUUUGAUCCCAGACUCUAUUGGAACCCUGAAACAACUAUCCAUUCUCUAUCUAUGGGGUAACAACCUCUUUGGCUUGAUACCUCCAGAGAUUGGAUCACUACAGUCUCUCAGUUCCCUUGACUUGUCAAGCAAUGAUUUAAUUGGUAGGAUCCCUUCUUCAAUUGGAAAUCUGAGAAACUUAUCAAUUCUUUCUCUUAGAGAUAACAAACUUUCUGGUUCCAUCCCUUCUUCUAUUGGAAAUCUGAGAAACUUAUCUAUUCUCAAAAUCUCGAUAAACAAACUUUCUAGUUCCAUUCCUUCUUUUCUUGGGAAUAUGAGUAAGCUUAUUGAGUUGCGCCUUAGUAAAAAUAAUCUCACCGGUUUGAUCCCAGUCUCUAUUGGAACUCUAAAACACCUAUCCGUUCUUCAUCUAGGGCAUAACAAACUCUCUGGUUCUAUUCCUUCUUCCAUUGGGAACAUGACUAUGCUCACUCAACUUGCUCUGCACAUGAAUAAUUUAUCUGCAUCUGUUCCUCGGGAAAUAGGACAUCUUGAAUCCCUUGUUGAAUUGAGUUUGCACACUAAUAAUCUCGAUGGUUCUCUACCCCCUGAGAUGAAUAAUCUCACACAUUUGAUGAAUUUGCAAUUGUCUUCAAACAAUUUCACUGGCCAUUUACCACGAGACUUGUGCCUUGGUGGGUUGCUUGUAAAUUUUUCAGCCGGCUACAAUCAUUUUUCUGGUCCAAUCCCUAAAAGCUUGCGAAAUUGUACUAGUCUUUUUAGAUUUAGGCUUGACUGGAACCAAUUGACAGGGAAUAUUUCUGAAGAUUUUGGCCUCUACCCAAACUUGAACUAUGUGGACCUAAGUCACAAUAAUUUGUAUGGUGAGCUUACGUGGAAAUGGAGAGGUUUUCACAACUUGGUGAGCCUAAAAUUGUCAAACAAUAAUAUCUCCGGUGAGAUACCAUCAGAGCUUGGAGAGGCUACUGGGCUACACAUGAUUGAUCUCUCGUCAAAUCUCCUAAAGGGGACAAUUCCAAAAGAAUUGGGGCAGUUGAAGGCGUUGUUCAACCUUACUCUUCAUAACAACCAUCUUUUUGGUGUCAUUCCCUUUGAAAUCCAAAUGCUAUCUCAACUUCAAUCCCUUAAUUUAGCUUCUAAUAAUCUUGGUGGAUCAAUCCCAAAACAACUGGGAGAGUGCUUAAAUUUAUUACAGUUGGACUUGAGUCAUAAUAAGUUCAUAGGGAGCAUCCCAUCUGAGAUAGGCUUCCUGCAUUUUCUUGGAAAUCUAGAUCUCAGUGGGAAUCUUCUGGCAGGAGAGAUACCAUCACAAAUUGGGCAAUUGAAUCAGUUAGAAACGAUGAACCUCUCUCACAACAAACUUUCCGGUUUGAUUCCAACUGCUUUUGUAGAUUUGGUGAGCUUGACAACUGUAGACAUCUCCUACAAUGAACUAGAGGGCCCUCUUCCCAAAAUCAAAGCCUUCAUUGAAGCUCCAUUUGAAGCUUUUAUAAAUAAUAGUGGUCUCUGUGGAAAUGCCAGUGGUCUAAAGCCUUGUACUCUUCUUACAAGCAGGAGAAAGAGCAACAAAAUUGUCAUUUUGAUUCUUUUUCCUCUCCUGGGCAGUCUACUUCUACUACUUAUCAUGGUUGGGUGUUUAUACUUUCACCACCGAACAAGUAGAGAAAGAAUCUCCUGUUUAGGAGAGCGACAAAGUCCACACAGUUUUGUAGUAUGGGGCCAUGAGGAAGAGAUCCUACAUGAAACUAUCAUCCAGGCCACUAAUAAUUUCAACUUCAAUAACUGCAUUGGGAAAGGGGGAAAUGGAAUUGUUUAUCGAGCCAUGUUGCCAACAGGUCAGGUGGUUGCCGUGAAGAAACUUCACCCAUCAAGAGAGGGCGAGCUUAUGGAUUUGAAAACUUUUAGGAAUGAGAUUCGCAUGUUAAUAGAUAUUCGACAUCGGAAUAUUGUGAAGUUAUAUGGAUUUUGUUCAUUAAUAGAGCACUCCUUUUUAGUUUAUGAGUUCAUAGAAAGGGGAAGUUUGAAGAUGAAUUUAUCUAGCGAAGAACAGGCAAUGGACUUGGAUUGGAAUAGAAGGCUUAAUGUUGUUAAAGGAGUGG